rnacentral:lncRNA from 1 species
CAGUAUUUCCACAGGGAACUGCCGACCUCUCCAUGCUCUCUUUGCUCUUCUGGUCCUAAGGACACUUUAGCAAAGUUAAUAUCGGAGACUCCCAACUUUUACAGCUCAUCCAUUAAGUUCCAAAACAGAAAAGAGAGAUACUUAACUGGGGGAAAGCCAGAUGUUGAACUCUCCACCGAUUCCAAAAACAUCAAGCAACUUGAAAGAUGGAUAGCUCUUCAGCUCUAGUUUCUGACUUUCCAUUUGGCAUUGGUCCUUGAACAUGACAACAUAAUGAUGUUCUCAAUUCGGUGAUUUUCAAAUAUUUUAAUCCUAAUUAAAGCAUAAAGAAAAAGUUGCGUUAGCUGAGCUCGAAUGCCCGCCAAGUGUGAGAAAACUGUAUCUCAGCUGUAUGUACUGUUACACAGUGUUCUUGGAACUUCUCAUAUGUCAUUCUGUCUGUUCAUGUGCAAUCUGAUAACUAACUACAAUUAGCAAAUGAAAUAUUUAUAUAUGCUACCACGUAGUCAGUCCAUAUGUGCAAAAUAUUGCAAGAUCCUCAAGUAGCAUUUAGCAUCACCCACUGUUAUGUUAGUUUCCUGAAAUAGGAAACUAUGCUGUCUUAUGCAGUCUUAUGAAGUAUGCCCCCCGAGGAUGCAAUUUCCUUGCUUUGCGUGUUUGUGGUAGAGCUCAAGUCAUCCUCCAGUGAGGUGACUGGUUUGUCCUCUCACAAAAUUCAGCACCACCAGCCCAGAGUUCUCUUUCCUUUUUCUCCGUGUUACUCUUGUGCUUCACCUACAAGCUACACCAUGUCCCAAAGAGUAGUGUUCAUCCACGUGGGAUGAACACUAGCCAGUUACUACUUUAUUUAUAAAAAUUCCAGUCAUUGUCCGAGCACAACUGACUGACAGCACACACUGAGAACUUCGUAAAGGACUUUUAAACCUUCCACAGACACACAGUUUUUAACCAGCAUGUGAACAAUAUGAGAAGCUUGUUGACUUCUGAAAAAAUUGCCUGGAACUGAAAAUCCAUAAGUGGAAGGAAAGCAAGCCUCUGAUUCACUUGACUUAAAUCAAGGGACAUCCAACAGUUGAAGGAACGUGGGGCAGCUGCCCUCACUGAAAUAUCGGUAUGUGCACCCUCACCCUUCCUGAGGCUGAUCAUCUUACAACGAGUAAAGGGGGAAAGGAAGCCAGUCUCCACCUGCAAGCCGAGGUUUGCAUGUAACCUUAUUUCACAGAAAAUUUAAUUUCAAGUCAAUUAAAUCUGAAUAUGAGAGAGAGAAAAAAGAGGGGGCAGAGAAGAGAGAACUUGGGGGUUUGGGAUAGAAAAGCUAUAAAAUUGGAUUGUGAUGAUCAUUGUACAACUAAAAAAAAAAAGCAUGACAAUGUGAGAAAAAAGAAUAUAUACAAGUGUGUGUAACUGGGUCACCUUGCUGUACAGUAGAAAAUUGACAGAACACAGUAAACCAGCUAUAAUGGAAAAAAAUAAAAAUCAUUAUAUAAAGAAAAAAAAAGAGAGAGGACGUGAAGAAGAAUGUGAGGCUGGGUUCUGGUACUUGCGCUAUGGAACUAAUGAUGCAGAUGAUCCAAAUUGCUCAAGUAUGAUGAUAGAGAAGGGUCCUGUUUAUUAGACCAGUGUAGGCAAGAAAGUCUCUAACCAAAAACAGCUAACGUCUAGUUCCAGGGGGAAAUGGAUGCUAUUAAUCUAUGACCUCUCUCUCUUCUUUUAUUUUUAUUAGAAUAUAAACCUUGUUAAUAAUGCAAAGUCUUUUGAAAUGUACAAUUCCAUAGCUCUUAAGAACAACCUUGAAAAGAAGGUACUUGAUGCUGCACUAAAGGCGUGUGUCACUGGGGUUUGAAGCUGGGAAGGAAUGCAUUCUCUCCUGUCUUUUUAUAUUGUGAUAGAUUUGUGGCAGGGUGGUUUAAGAGGCUCCUGCUGUCUCAAACUGUUUCCUUCAAGCACUGACCAUGAACUGGCUCACAGAUGAUUUGGACACUUAACAUUUUCAAGGACAAAAAUUUCUCCCAGUGUGGUAGAGAGAGAAAGGAAGGAAGGAUAGAUGAUCACUCUGCUUUAUUCCUAGCAAGCCCAACUUAGACAGGAGAAAGGAUUUUUAAAAAAAUGGAGAUUCCAACAUGGAGUUUGCAGUGCCUAAUUGUAUGCUGUAAAAAUUAAUGGCAUAAAUGCUUACCAAGGAAUAAAAAUAUGCAGUGCUAU